GGGCCGGUGGCGGAACGGUAGACGCAGGGGACUUAAAAUCCCCUGGGCAUUUUGCCCGUGUGGGUUCGAAUCCCACCCGGCCCA
rnacentral:tRNA from 3 species